UGUGGGAGCGGGCUUGCUCGCGAUGGUAUCGAUUCGGUCUACUGCCACACCGCGUCGCCUGGAUCGCGAGCAAGCCCGCUCCCACA
rnacentral:antisense_RNA from 1 species